UUGGUUUCGAAUUCCAUCAUCUAAUCUCUUUGCUCUUCUCUUUCUGGAAUGUGACUUUUGCAGAAACUUCAAUGUUUGCAGCUGUGAAACCAAAUCGAAGGUUGCUUGUUUUCUCUGUUUUCAUUAGAAAACCCAGUACUCUCUCUUCACUUUUGGAGCAUCAAGCAGAUCCAAUAGGUCUCUAAUAGAAAAAAGAUUAAAUAACUACAUUUUGCUUGAAAAUCCAUUAUCCUUACCUCUUUUUUUUUCAAUUCCCAAUCAGUUGCAGGCUUGCUUUCUGGGUUUUCUUCUCAGAUGUCUGUCAAACUACGAGGUAAGAAUAUCUUUCUUUUUUUUUUCAAAAAUUUAACUGACAAAGUGGAGACUUAAUAGUAUUAUUUUUAUUUUGUUUACAAUUUAGAGAAGAUAUUCCAGAUCCAGAAUAUUGGGGGUUUGGUUCAGUUUUAUGUUUAGUGAGCUCUUGGGGCAAUAAAGCAAGCAAAUAGUGGAGUUAGAAUUGCUUGAGUUUGUUGCAGUAUUUAGAAUAU
rnacentral:lncRNA from 1 species